GUCGUUUCACGAGGAGGACGUCGGCGGUUCGGAAACAUGGCCGGUGUUUUUCAAGUGAUGGCAUUUGGGGUUCGCUCGCUGGACAAAAGAGAGGUCGAUGAUUCUUUCAUGACAAAGCUUGCCAAGAUUGCUACCGCUGAAAUGAUAUCCUCUAAGGAAAUCAAUUCGGACUGGCAACGAGCAGCAACAAGUCUACUUGUUGCAAUUGGUUUGCAUUUAC